rnacentral:rRNA from 1 species
UCUGGUUGAUCCUGCCAGUAGUCAUAUGCUUGUCUCAAAGAUUAAGCCAUGCAUGUCUAAGUAUAAAUAGUAUACAGUGAAACUGCGAAUGGCUCAUUAAAACAGUUAUAGUUUAUUUGAUAAUUGACAAUUACAUGGAUAACCGUGGUAAUUCUAGAGCUAAUACAUGCUUAAACGCCCGACUUUAUGGAAGGGUGGUAUUUAUUAGACUGAAGCCAAUAUUCCUUGUGUCUAUUGCGGUGAUUCAUAAUAACUGAUCGAAUCUCUUUUUGAGAUAAAUCAUUCAAGUUUCUGCCCUAUCAGCUUUCGAUGGUAGUGUAUUGGACUACCAUGGCAGUAACGGGUAACGAAGAAUUAGGGUUCGAUUUCGGAGAGGGAGCAUGAGAAACGGCUACCACAUCUAAGGAAGGCAGCAGGCGCGUAAAUUACCCAAUCCUGACUCAGGGAGGUAGUGACAAGAAAUAGCAAACCCGGAACCUCAUGGUUUCACGGUAUUGCAAUGAGAACAAUUUAAAACCCUUAGCGAGAAUCAAGUGGAGGACAAGUCUGGUGCCAGCACCCGCGGUAAUUCCAGCUCCACUAGCGUAUAUUAAAGUUGUUGCAGUUAAAAAGCUCGUAGUUGAACCUCUGUCUGGGGCUAGUUUUGGCUUUGGUCAGGCUAGUUCUAGGCAUCCGCCUACAAGACUUAGAGGGCAUUCAGUUGUUCACUAGGAGGAGUAGGCAUUUUACUUUGAAAAAAUUAGAGUGUUCAAGGCAGGCAAUCGCCCGCAUAUAUUAGCAUGGAAUAAUAGAAUAGGACACUUUUCCAUUUCGUUGGUUAUUGGAAUCGUGUAAUGAUUAAUAGGGACAGUUGUGGGCAUUUGUAUUUAAUUGUCAGAGGUGAAAUUCUUGGAUUUAUUAAAGACAAACUAACGCGAAAGCAUUUGCCAAGGAUGUUUUCAUUAAUCAAGAACGAAAGUUAGGGGAUCAAAGACGAUCAGAUACCGUCCUAGUCUUAACUAUAAACUAUUCCGACUCAAUGUUUGACUGGCUUAUAUAACCAGUUGAGCGUUGUAUGAGAAAUCAAAGUCUUUAGGUUCUGGGGGGAGUAUGGUUGCAAAGCUGAAACUUAAAGGAAUUGACGGAAGAGCACAACCAGGAGUGGAUUCUGCGGCUUAAUUUGACUCAACACGGGGAAACUUACCAGGUUAAAACAAUAGUGGGAUUGACAGUUUGAGAGCGCUUUCUUGAUUGGUUGGGUGGUGGUGCAUGGCCGUUCUUAGUUGGUGGAGUGAUUUGUCUGCUUAAUUGCGUUAACGAACGAGACCUUAACCUGCUUACUAGAC